rnacentral:tmRNA from 1 species
GGGGAUGAAUGAUUCGACGGGAAUGCACAUUAACAGACAGCAAGCCGACAUUGGUAGAUUGUCGCAAAUUAACUAUCAAAAAAUACAUGCUGAUAACACUAUCAGUAAGCUUGAAGCGAAACUUGCUCAACUUGAACAGGCUUUAGCAUUCAAGUAUUCCGGACUCGCUUUUGCGCAAGCACGAGCGUAAGGAAUCAUCUGUGAAUAUCUGUUGUUCAGUGAGAUUUUACAGGUGACAACAUAGCUGGACCAUCAGAAGUUGGAUGACUGGCCAAUUUUGGAGUAUUUAUUCAGUCAACACCCCGCCUUCUAUUUUGUCUAUUUAGAGGUUGGCAGGGAAUUAAAUGGACUACGCUUGUAGACGUUUGUUAUCUCGCGUUUUCGGACCCGGGCUCACCCCCGGCAUCUCCACAC